rnacentral:rRNA from 1 species
CUGUGGGUUCAUGCAGUUUGUCAAUGCACGAGUUUUGUCUGAUCUAAGAAGCUAAGCAAGUCCGGGCCUGGUUAGUACUCGGAUGGGAGACCUGUCGGAAUAGCAGGUGCCACAGU